rnacentral:rRNA from 1 species
UACGUAGGGGGCUAGCGUUGUCCGGAUUUAUUGGGCGUAAAGAGCGUGUAGGCGGCCAGGUAGGUCUGGUGUGAAAACUCGAGGCUUAACCUCGAGAUGUCAUCGGAAACCAUCUGGCUAGAGUCCGGAAGAGGAGAGUGGAAUUCCUGGUGUAGCGGUGAAAUGCGCAGAUAUCGGGAGGAACACCAAUGGCGAAGGCAGCUCGCUGGGACGGUACUGACGCUGAGACGCGAAAGCGUGGGGAGCGAACAGG